AGGCGCUUUCGGGUGUCGCUGAUGGAUGGACCCGCGGUGCAUUAGCUAGUUGGUGAGGUAACGGCUCACCAAGGCCACGAUGCAUAGCCGACCUGAGAGGGUGAUCGGCCACAUUGGGACUGAGACACGGCCCAAACUCCUACGGGAGGCAGCAGUAGGGAAUCUUCGGCAAUGGACGAAAGUCUGACCGAGCAACGCCGCGUGAGUGAAGAAGGUUUUCGGAUCGUAAAACUCUGUUGUUAGAGAAGAACAAGGAUGAGAGUAACUGUUCAUCCCUUGACGGUAUCUAACCAGAAAGCCACGGCUAACUACGUGCCAGCAGCCGCGGUAAUACGUAGGUGGCAAGCGUUGUCCGGAUUUAUUGGGCGUAAAGCGAGCGCAGGCGGUUUCUUAAGUCUGAUGUGAAAGCCCCCGGCUCAACCGGGGAGGGUCAUUGGAAACUGGGAGACUUGAGUGCAGAAGAGGAGAGUGGAAUUCCAUGUGUAGCGGUGAAAUGCGUAGAUAUAUGGAGGAA
rnacentral:rRNA from 1 species